GGUGAGUAACAUUUAGGAAUCUGCCUAGUAGUGGGGGAUAGCUCGGGGAAACUCGAAUUAAUACCGCAUACGACCUACGGGUGAAAGGGGGCGCAAGCUCUUGCUAUUAGAUGAGCCUAAAUCAGAUUAGCUAGUUGGUGGGGUAAAGGCCCACCAAGGCGACGAUCUGUAACUGGUCUGAGAGGAUGAUCAGUCACACCGGAACUGAGACACGGUCCGGACUCCUACGGGAGGCAGCAGUGGGGAAUAUUGGACAAUGGGGGCAACCCUGAUCCAGCCAUGCCGCGUGUGUGAAGAAGGCCUUUUGGUUGUAAAGCACUUUAAGCAGGGAGGAGAGGCUAAUGGUUAAUACCCAUUAGAUUAGACGUUACCUGCAGAAUAAGCACCGGCUAACUCUGUGCCAGCAGCCGCGGUAAUACAGAGGGUGCGAGCGUUAAUCGGAAUUACUGGGCGUAAAGCGAGUGUAGGUGGCUCAUUAAGUCACAUGUGAAAUCCCCGGGCUUAACCUGGGAACUGCAUGUGAUACUGGUGGUGCUAGAAUAUGUGAGAGGGAAGUAGAAUUCCAGGUGUAGCGGUGAAAUGCGUAGAGAUCUGGAGGAAUACCGAUGGCGAAGGCAGCUUCCUGGCAUAAUAUUGACACUGAGAUUCGAAAGCGUGGGUAGCAAACAGGAUUAGAUACCCUGGUAGUCCACGCCGUAAACGAUGUCUACUAGCCGUUGGGGGUCCUUGAGACUUUAGUGGCGCAGUUAACGCGAUAAGUAGACCGCCUGGGGAGUACGGCCGCAAGGUUAAAACUCAAAUGAAUUGACGGGGGCCCGCACAAGCGGUGGAGCAUGUGGUUUAAUUCGAUGCAACGCGAAGAACCUUACCUGGUCUUGACAUAGUGAGAAUCUUUCAGAGAUGAGAGAGUGCCUUCGGGAAUUCACAUACAGGUGCUGCAUGGCUGUCGUCAGCUCGUGUCGUGAGAUGUUGGGUUAAGUCCCGCAACGAGCGCAACCCUUUUCCUUAUUUGCCAGCGGGUUAAGCCGGGAACUUUAAGGAUACUGCCAGUGACAAACUGGAGGAAGGCGGGGACGACGUCAAGUCAUCAUGGCCCUUACGACCAGGGCUACACACGUGCUACAAUGGUAGGUACAGAGGGUUGC
rnacentral:rRNA from 1 species